GGGCCUAUAGCUCAGUUGGUUAGAGCAGCGGACUCAUAAUCCGUUGGUCCCUGGUUCGAGUCCAGGUGGGCCCACCA
rnacentral:tRNA from 3 species